rnacentral:rRNA from 1 species
UGGGGAAUAUUGGACAAUGGGGGCAACCCUGAUCCAGCAAUACCGCGUGAAUGAUGAAGGCCUUCGGUUGUAAAGUUCUUUAUCUUUGACGCGGUAGGAGAUGAAUAAGCACCGGCUAACUUCGUGCCAGCAGCCGCGGUAAUACGAAGGGUGCUAGCGUUGUUCGGAAUGACUGGGCGUAAAGGGAGCGUAGGCGGUCCUAUAAGUCAAAUGUGAAAUCCCUGGGCUCAACCUGGGGACUGCAUGUGAUACUGUAGGACUAGAGAUCACGAGGGGAAAACGGAAUUGUGCGUGUAGAGGUGAAAUUCGUAGAGAUGCACAAGAACACCGGUGGCGAAGGCGGUUUUCUGGAGUGAUACUGACGCUAAGGCUCGAAAGCG